rnacentral:rRNA from 1 species
AGAGUUUGAUCAUGGCUCAGAUUGAACGCUGGCGGCAGGCCUAACACAUGCAAGUCGAACGGUAACAGGAAGCAGCUUGCUGCUUCGCUGACGAGUGGCGGACGGGUGAGUAAUGUCUGGGAAGCUGCCUGAUGGAGGGGGAUAACUACUGGAAACGGUAGCUAAUACCGCAUAAUGUCGCAAGACCAAAGAGGGGGACCUUCGGGCCUCUUGCCAUCGGAUGUGCCCAGAUGGGAUUAGCUUGUUGGUGGGGUAACGGCUCACCAAGGCGACGAUCCCUAGCUGGUCUGAGAGGAUGACCAGCCACACUGGAACUGAGACACGGUCCAGACUCCUACGGGAGGCAGCAGUGGGGAAUAUUGCACAAUGGGCGCAAGCCUGAUGCAGCCAUGCCGCGUGUAUGAAGAAGGCCUUCGGGUUGUAAAGUACUUUCAGCGGGGAGGAAGGGAGUAAAGUUAAUACCUUUGCUCAUUGACGUUACCCGCAGAAGAAGCCCCGGCUAACUCCGUGCCAGCAGCCGCGGUAAUACGGAGGGUGCAAGCGUUAAUCGGAAUUACUGGGCGUAAAGCGCACGCAGGCGGUUUGUUAAGUCAGAUGUGAAAUCCCCGGGCUCAACCUGGGAACUGCAUCUGAUACUGGCAAGCUUGAGUCUCGUAGAGGGGGGUAGAAUUCCAGGUGUAGCGGUGAAAUGCGUAGAGAUCUGGAGGAAUACCGGUGGCGAAGGCGGCCCCCUGGACGAAGACUGACGCUCAGGUGCGAAAGCGUGGGGAGCAAACAGGAUUAGAUACCCUGGUAGUCCACGCCGUAAACGAUGUCGACUUGGAGGUUGUGCCCUUGAGGCGUGGCUUCCGGAGCUAACGCGUUAAGUCGACCGCCUGGGGAGUACGGCCGCAAGGUUAAAACUCAAAUGAAUUGACGGGGGCCCGCACAAGCGGUGGAGCAUGUGGUUUAAUUCGAUGCAACGCGAAGAACCUUACCUGGUCUUGACAUCCACGGAAGUUUUCAGAGAUGAGAAUGUGCCUUCGGGAACCGUGAGACAGGUGCUGCAUGGCUGUCGUCAGCUCGUGUUGUGAAAUGUUGGGUUAAGUCCCGCAACGAGCGCAACCCUUAUCCUUUGUUGCCAGCGGUCCGGCCGGGAACUCAAAGGAGACUGCCAGUGAUAAACUGGAGGAAGGUGGGGAUGACGUCAAGUCAUCAUGGCCCUUACGACCAGGGCUACACACGUGCUACAAUGGCGCAUACAAAGAGAAGCGACCUCGCGAGAGCAAGCGGACCUCAUAAAGUGCGUCGUAGUCCGGAUUGGAGUCUGCAACUCGACUCCAUGAAGUCGGAAUCGCUAGUAAUCGUGGAUCAGAAUGCCACGGUGAAUACGUUCCCGGGCCUUGUACACACCGCCCGUCACACCAUGGGAGUGGGUUGCAAAAGAAGUAGGUAGCUUAACCUUCGGGAGGGCGCUUACCACUUUGUGAUUCAUGACUGGGGUGAAGUCGGAACAAGGUAACCGUAGGGGGACCUGCGGUUG